GAUAGAGAGAGGCAUGCAUUGAAACUAGCCUACCAUACAAAGGUAAAAAAUGCAUUCAUGACUAUGCCCCCUUUCACCUGCGGCCUCACCCACCACUGGCAGGUUGUGCCCCCCCAUAAAAAAAGUUGCCCAGAAGGGAACAUGGCCCUCAGGUUGAAAAAGCUUCUGCACCCAUUAUCCAAGAAAUCAGGAUCAUCACGAGGGGCAAGGAGUGGCGAGAGAGCUGUUUGAGAAAGCCAGAAUGACGAGCUGGAUUUCUGUCAGGGGUUUAAAUGCCCUGGUGGCAAGAGCAAAUGGGUAAAGGUAAAGGGACCCUUGACUGUUAAGUCCAGUCGCAGACGACUCUGGGGUUGCGGCGCUCAUCUCACUUUACUGGCCGUGGGAGCCGGCAUUUGUCCUCAGACAGCUUCCGGGUCAUGUGGCCAGCAUGACUAAGCCAAUUCUGGCAAACCAGAGCAGCACACGGAAACGCAAAUGGGUACCAGGAACUAAAGAAUUCCCCAGGAAUAGAGCAGUGGAAGGAGGCCCUCAUUUGGAAAUUGAGAUUUUUGAAAUGAAGCAUGAAAUUCGGACGGGUGAGAAGGAAAUCUAUAAACUCAUCUCCUCCCGAUCCAAUUUUUUAUAACCAAAGAAGAUUGACAUUAUGAGGGGUCCUCCCCUCGUUGUCUGCUCAAAAUGGUGACCUUUAUCCCCCCAAACAGGGGUCUGUUUCAGUCCCUGCUCCCUGCACUUGCUUCAGUUUUGAUGUGCUCUGGCAGCUGAGCAAGGCUAAUAAACCGAGAGAGGGCCAGCUGGCUGAAAGGGACAAAUUCAAAUCUUCUGACCUGCAAAAGUAACAUGAUGCCCAUAUUCCUUCAUUUAGCAUAAUUAAUACAUUGUAUUUCCACUGAGUUUGAUAAACUAACACACGGACCUCUUCCCCUCUCCACCACCAGCACCAUUUCUCCUUUCCCCUUCUCCCUGGUGGCCUCUCAAGUAAUGAAUCCUGGAGAUCUAGUGUUUAAAUGCUUUUAAGACCUAACAGGAAAUAUUGUGUCUUAAUAAAGCUAAGAUCCAAAGUCCCAGUUGGGCCACUGCGAGCGAGGCAAAGGGUUGUCUCCGAGGUGGCAUGGCACAUUUUGGGACCGCUGCCCAGUCAGACCCUUCAAAUUCUCAUGAAUAUGUUAUGUGCACAAUCAAUGGAGAUGUGUUAAGCAUUAUAUAGCUGGGUUUCCCUUGACAGAGUCUUUUGUUGUGUAAAGAGACAGCAUUGUCUUGGAGGGCUCUGGGACUUGAACCGGGAGCCUUGGGGUCAGGAAUCUGGCCCAGAGAGCUACCUAGAUUAUCUGUGGUCAGGCUACAGUACCUUCUUUUGGCACAGGAGGGAAGAGAAGGUUCCACAACAGUCCCUGUAAUUGGCAUGAGGACUGCCAGGUCUCCUCAGGCUCUGAGCUGGGAGGGGACUCAGAGGUGACACCUUGCAGGUUUGAAGUGGAGCCUGAUGGGGCAGAGGAUGGCAUUUGGCAAGGGCCUACAAAUGCACUUGCCGCCUCACCAAUGGCAAUCUGGCAAGCGCAACAUCAGGGAGAUACCCCGCUUUUGUCAGGAGAUGUGGAGAGGACCUUCCUGAUGCCACGUUGAGCCUCAGUACUUUUCCGGUGUCUUUCAGCUGCAGCUUAACUAGGAUGGCCCCAGCCCGCCCACCUUUUUGCUUUAAGGAUGGACAUCAUCCUUGGAAUUUGGGUUCAAAGCUGCCCAAAUUUGCCCAUGUUAGAAGCAGUUCCCAAGCUAUAUCAAGCUACAGUUUAAUACAGGGGCAGGGAAACAUAGGCUCUCUAAACGCUGCUGGACUACAUCUCCCAUCAACCCCAACCAGCAUGGCUCAUGGGAGUUAUAAUCCAACAACAUCUGGAGGGCCAAAGGUUCCACACUCCUGCUAUAAUAGGAGGUGCCUGGAGGGCAUUUCAGUCAUUGUGCCAGUUGAUGUGGACCUUCAUGGCUGGGAUUUGAGAUGCCGUGCUCCGAAUCAGCACCAGGAUUAGAACAAAGUAUGUGCCUUGAAUUGCAACCAGAACCACAUUGGAAGCUGGUGAAGAUCUUUUAACAUGUUUGAGCAAAGAUUGAAGUAACUGCCAUCGUUUGAACCAAUUGAACAGGGAUGGAGGGUCUUUUUGCCCCAUGAGCCUGAGAUUCACCACCCCUGCAGCUGAAGUUGUUAAAUAGUUUUCAAGGGCAGCCCCAUACACAAUACAUGGCAGUAAUCAAGUCACUUAAGGCAGAGGACCAACUUGCAAGCGAUUUCCUAUGACUUAGAAGGCUUAUCUCUUGCACACAUCUAGAGAAGUAUUGGUGGGGGUGGUGAAGGGAAACCAAUGCUAGUAAUACCUUGGUACAUAUUAAUCUUUCCAUUAUGCUCUCAGUUCUUCUGUGUGAGCCCCUGCAUUCCACUGUCUCUUCGUUCAGUAAUUUAAUUAGGAUGGCGACUUGGAGAUCUUGCAGCCGAUUAGAGGCCGUGACUUGCUUGAGAGAUCAAGAAAGCAAAUUGAUAAAUGUCAGAGCAAAGGUGGGCUGUGUGGGAAGAGAGAAGGGGAGGCAGCCCUAUGCCUUUGGCUCUGAAUGAGUGAUCAAGGUCAGCUCUGGUUUGUUAACAUAUUCUGGGACCCCAGUUCAUUAUAAAUAGCACCCUGGUGGUUUGCCUUUGCCCCUGAAGAUCACGGUUGAGAUUUACCAGUGAGCCUUCUUUGUAGCUGGCUGGAGAUGGGAGAGAGGAAGCACUCCUUUAAAACCUAGAAAUCAAACUCUUCUGUAUUGGAUAUCUUAAAAAGGCAUUUGUGUUUUCCCAGGGCUGGGCUGGCCCAAUAUAUUUUGCCACCUGAGGCAGAGGACGAGAUGGUGCCCACUCUAUUCCAGACUGGUAGCUGAAUCUUAGUUCAGCACUAGUGAUUGGAUGCUGUGCAUUUAGGGGCAUCAAUCUAGGCUAAGAAGGGGAAGCGAAGAGGGAUGCACAACUUCAACAUCUCACUGUCAUUGCCCACCCCCUCUACCUCUCUCUGACUAAUGGUAGGACUGCCCCAGAUCAGGAUCUCUUGUCCUAGCAGCACACCUCUGCCUGCUUUGGGUAUAUCGUACUCUGAUUGGAUAUGAAGUGGAGAAAUCUUCCAUGGGGCAGUUCUUCAGAAUCUUCUGUGCUGCUCUUGCCCGGCUCCUGUUCAUAUCAAUGGGGCUCACUCAGGAGAACCUCCCAGUAAGAUUAUCUCCAGUGGGUCAAAUAAAAUAAUCAUGUGUACCAAGAGUGAAUUCUGUUCUCUUAAGUGAUGGCCCUCAUUAGGUUGGCCACAGUAUCAUUGCAAAAGUGAACCAUGAUGUGCCUAAAAUGUGCAUGUGCUAAUUUACGUGUAUAAGCCCAAAUUUUAGAAAUAAUUGCUUUAAUUCCCCUAGUGGGGAAGACCAUGAGCAGCUAACCUGUGUGCCUACUCAGUCUCCAGUCAAGGUGCUAAGUGUUGAUGAGGGAACAUCAACACUUUUCACUGCUCUUUCUUUUUCUGCUUCUUAUCUUUAAAAUGGACUUGGACCUGUCUGUCCUUCGACCAAAUCAGAGGAGGCUAACCUGUAGCUCUCAGUAGGUUUUGGGACUUCCAACUCCCAUCAGCCCCAGCCAGCAUGACCUAUGAAGUCUGGGGUGAUAGUCCAGCAGCAUCUGGAGGCCUGCAGGUGUAGUCAUCCCUGAAAUAGAGGACAGUCCUUUGUAAAGUAGGACAUGAGACCACCUUAGAAUCUAGCCCAAAAGGGCACCAUCCACAAUCAAGAGGGAAGUGGCAGCAGGCUUAGGGAAAUCUCAGGCCUUGAAAAAGUACCAAAAAAAAACCCCCUUUAGAAAAAAAGAGGUCCGUUCUAGGGAUAGAGGAGUAAUUUGGUGCCAUCAGGAGUUUAAUGUGAAUCUACCUUAUUUGCAAUUUCAUGGGUGAAGCAAAUCAUAGCUCUCCUUCAACAUAUACUUCUCCAGAUUUUGCGUUGUGAUUCUCCAACCAAAUAAUAUGUAUGACGAUGUGAAUGUUUGGGGGAAAGCAUGCCUAAAAUUGCAUAUAUUUCUGAAAGUAGCUUAUUAAAAAGAGCAUUCUAUUAGGGCAAAAAAUUAUUGCAAAAAAUGUAUCUUAGACAGAAUUGCAUAAAAAUUGUAUAUAUUAGGAGAAAUUUGUGCUGAAGUGCUGGCUAAUUUUCAUGAAGACUUCUUUAAAUAACAAAAAAGCAAACUCAUGCAGAAAUGAGAAGAAUGGAAUUCAAAACUGGAACAGUGAGAAACAGAGAGAAGUCAAAAUGGAGAGAUUUGUCACAUGGCCCAUGUCACAUGACUCCAGCCCUCUCAGCCUUAAUCAACCCAACCUCCCAAUAUGCUUCACCCUUUGCCCAGUAGCUCAUUAUCUCAUUUGCAGCCAUUGCAGCCCCCUCCCCACAUCAGAAAGUCCCAUUCAGACCUCUUUGCUGCUGUAGCUUUUUUUCAUAGGCCCCAGUUCCUUGACAUGAAGUUAAGCUGGUGUCAAGCCCCUUCUCUUAUCAGGAAGUGUCUUCCAGAAAGACUUUCUUAAGUCCUUUCCCCCCACCGCCCUUGAAGUGAAGCUGCGAAUCGCUUUGAGGUGAAUGUGUGUUUUUUGUUUUGUUUUUUUUCAAAAAUCUAGAACAAAAGAGUUUUUCCUUACAACAGCUGUGCAGUUUUAUUAAAAAUUUAGAGAAAUCUUAUGUGUCUAAUCCUUUGAGCGGAUGUGUAAUUACUUGGCGAGGGCGCUUACACAUGGAUAACCUAGCUGUACUGUGAGACAAGAUUCUUAUGUUUAAUUUAAAGGACCGGAGCUUCUGCUGUGGUGGAGAUUAUCAACACCAAGCCCUAAGAAAGGAACGCACAGCCCAAACCGACCGCUCUGCGUUUUCAUUUGUUGCACAGAUGUUCGGGGCCAUCUGACGAGCAGAUAGCGGAGUUGCCGAGAACGGCAAACGGGCAGGAGAUGUGCAAGAGAGAUGUGAACAUCAGCUUCGUAUUCAGUGGGUUUUUUCAUUUGCUUCUGGGGUUGGGGUUUGUGUCUCUCCUGAUUUCUGGAUAUGACUUGUCUCCUUUCUGCUCCAGAUUAGCAUGGCUACUCUCUCUGUUAAGCUGCAUCCCUUACUCAAGGGUGUGAGAAUAAGAUGAUCCAUGGCUACUGGCACAAUGUCUAUGUUCUAGCUCCACUGUCAGAGGCCAUAUGUUUUUGAAUUCCAGUUGCUGGGAAGCACAGGUGGGGUGAGUGCUAUCGCUCUCAAGUCUCAUGUGCAGGCUUCCCAUCAGGACAUCUAGUUAGCCACUUUGAGACCAGGAUGCCAAGACUAGGUGGGCCUUUGGCCUGAUCCAGCUGCAGGGGUCUUCAGGUGUUCCCAAGUGUUGGUGCUUCUAGAAUACAGGGCAUAGGAAGCAUAUUAUGUGUUCAGGGAAAGCGAAUAUGUACUUUCCUUCCAUAGAAAGGCCAGGCAUUGUUGUGAUUUCCCAAAUGCAUGGGGCAAGAUCGUUCAGAUUUGCUUUGGCACCUAAGCCUUAGAUGUAGUGAAAUUACUCGCCAGUGAAGCUUUCAGUGGAAACACACAGAGAGAUAAGAUGAGUACCAAGCAAGCCUCCUGUGAUGGAAUCAAUGGAAUCAUUGGCAGCACCACCAGCCUUUUACCAUGUUGCCUCCAUGGAGAAAAUUUUGACAUGCAGAUGAAUGAGACCCUUGUGUAGAUGGGUCGUCAUCCAUCUCCUGGCACUCAAGUUCACUGGACGCUGCAGACGGGGCAAUGCUUAGCUCUGCCUCCAGGCUCCUUGAUGUUGCUUUCUGGAACUUCUUUAACUGACAGGAAGUGCAAUGUUGUGACCCCCUUCAAUCAGGGCUGGGCAACUUUUUUGUUUUGUUGUGGACCACAUUCCCUUGGGAGUAAGCUGCUGGGAGUGGAGCAGGCAGAGCUAGAAGUGUGUGGGGCCACCUCUUUUCUUUCUCUCUGCUGCCCCUUCUCUCUCUUUCUCUUCCCCCUAACCAGCUAGAUGCCAAGAGAUAGUUCACUAUUUUAGUCUUGCAGGUGGCCUUUUAAAUUAGUUAAGCACCCCAUGAAAAUAGACCAAGGGUGCAGAUUCCCCCUACCUUAACCCACCUUGGAUAGAAAGAGAUCUCUGAAAACGAUAUUCAGCCAGGAUCAUUGGAGGAGGGUGGGAAUAAAUCUUCCUGGCAUAGAUGGGAAUUUCCCCAGGAAGCUCCUACAGAAGGUGAAGGGGCAGGUGCCUUAACAGUCGCAAGAAUCUUCUCUCGUAUUUAAUAGUGUGACUUCUUCUCUUUGAGUACAAUCCUAGUUCUUGCAGUGGCCUCAUCACACUGGCUCUUGUGAGAUAUGUUACCUACUCCUUAGGUCUCACUGCCUGCUGCUAAUUGCUGUCUAGGCUGGAAGGUAUGGAGAAGCAGGAAGUUGCAUCCGUAGCCCAGUGACAAAAGGUACUCCUGUAUGUACCAGGUAUAUGUACCAGGCUUGGCCAGUAGUCAAGAGUCUUGAUACUGCCUGCUAAUCACGGAGGCCGAUGUUGCGCAAUGUUAUUCCCUUCUGUGCCUGAAGAGGGCUCUGAUCCCAAAUGAUCCCAAGUAACUGAAGAUGACGUUGGACUCCCAUCAGCCCCAUGCAGCACAACUGAUGACCAGGGAUAGUGGAAGUUGGAGUCCAGCACUAUUUAUUUAUUUAUUUAUUUAUUUAUUUUAUGCUUACAUUCCUUUUUUUGCUUUUUGCUUUUUUUCUUUUUCUUUUUCCUUUUUCAGACAAGUGCCUACUGAAAGCAGCUUAAAAACUUAAAACAGCGAGAGAUAAAGAAAGCAGUAAUACAAAAUUUUAAGCUUAAAAAGACAGCAUCUCUCCAAAACCUGGAGCCUACUGGGGUGGGGAAGGCUCCAUAAGCAGUUGGCCCAGAGGGUCCCAGAUCAGGAACCUGGAACUACUUUCACGGGGUUCCGAUCCCACGGGGACAGCAUUAAAUGGUGCGCUUUGAUCAGAUUGCUACCAGCGAUUGGGCCCAAACAACCCGUGAUGCAGUUCCUUUAAUAGGACCAUAAUUAUAAUCUGCACCUGAUCACUGGAAUGCUGAUCUAUUUCUUUUGUGUUUGGGAGAAAUGUGCAAACAGGCCAUAAACUUGGUGAAUUAAAUAAGCACUGGGCGUGAAGAAGCAAAUGUUAUUGGGGGAGGGGGGAGGGAGACGGAGAAAAAUCAAGACCACACUAUGUAGCUGGACAGAUGUGUUGAGCAGCUUAGCUCUUUGUUGAGUCCAACGCUUACAAAUGAAAAUGUCUCAGUUGUAAGAAAUUAAAGACAAAACAUGCUGUUAGAUUAUAGGGAAAGGGAGGAGGAACGAGGCGUAUCAGGCUGGUAUUUAAGCCAUGCCAUUAAUUGUUUUGAGGGUUGUUUUAAUGUAUGUAUGUAUAUAUAUCUAUUAAAAGGGUCCUUCAGCCCUCGAGCAAUUGCUUUGUUUAAUUUGCAUUUGUGCCAUGUGACCUUGCAUAAUAGCCAGCGAACGUGGAGCAUCCGAAAGGCCGGGGCUGUUGCAAUUGUAGGUUCUGCCUUGUGCAAAUGAAGAUGCGUCUAAAACGGCAUUUCUCUUUGUUGUGUGUGUGUGUGUUUCAAAAGGCGCUCUAAUGAAUUAGCGGAAAAUGCACUGCUGUAAACAGCUGUUGUGUGUUCGUCAAGCAUCUGCGGAGGGGUCUGUCUGCUUUUCAUUUCUUUCCAUCGUUCCUUCUCUCUCUCUUCUGACACAACCCACAGACUAUUUUUUUUUUUUAAAUGGCCCUCUCCUACUGUAAAAUGUAAUAUUUAUUUCUAGAUAACGCACUCCAGUUUCUCCAAGUAUUUGGGGGGGGGGGAGUGUCAAGCAGAUUUAACUGACGUUACAAAUACAGAAUUCAGAGGCAGUUGUUAAUGUGAUUCUCAGGGGAGCCAGUGCAUUGUAGAGCAUGGACUUCCCUGACCGAGGGAGACAGUGGUUCAGAUCCAUUAUCCAUGGUGUCACCAUCCCUCAGCCUACUGAACUGUACAGGCUUGUUUUGGGAAGAAAACGGGAUAAACCCUGGAAGCAUGCUUUGCAAGGAAGGGCUGUAGCUUACCAACAGAGGUCUGAGAUUUGUUUCUGAGUGGUUUGCUGGAAGCCUUCAAGUGAGGUCAGAUUCUACCCAUUCCACGAAGUGGUGCUAUUUAUUUACAUGUUUGAGAGUGUAUCCCAUGCCGUGUUAGAGUCUUAAAGCUGAUUGCAACCCGAGAGCCAGUGGUUGGGGAGUCAGACCAGGAACCCCGAGAGGCCAGGGUUCAAAUGGCCCACUCAGCCACGUUGACUUGGCAGUCAGUUACUGUCAUUCAGCCUAACCUGCCUCAGGUGGUUGUUGCAAGGGCAAAUUGAGCGUGGGGGUGGGGAACCAUGGAUGUUUAUUGCUCUCCUGAGUGAAGGUCUCUUUCCAGUAGAAACCUCACACAUAUACCAAGUUGGAAAAAUGGAAAAAUAGUGUGUAGGUUUAUCACCGACCCUCUCCCCUCUACCUCGGGAUGCCAUAUUGUCUUACACUGAAUGUAACCAAAACACUUUAUAAACUUUACAGAGAAAGAGACAUUGCACAUUCUUUUGUAUUUCAUGAAAAUCUUUAAUAAAAAAUAUUUUUUUAAAAAAAUAAGUAAAUAGAUUUGAACCCCAGCAAUGCUUUGGAUUGCCACACUUUGUAGAUGCUAAUAUAGGAAGAGUUUUAUAGUGUGUGUGUGUGUGUGUGUGUGUGUGUGUGUAUACGUAUACAUAUACAUAUACAUAUACUGUAUGUGUGUCUAGGUAUGUAUUUCCACCUGAAAUAAAUAUGUUUCCAUUCACCCACCCAUCCUGCGACUGAAUGUAAACCCCUUCCUUUCAAGAGUUAAUAAACACACCCAAGCUGUGCUGAUCUUGUAGCUUUAGCGAGCCUUAAUCUGUAAGCUUGAUUACCUCCUAACCUUCAGUCGCCUGACGCAGCAGGGGGUGGCAGGAGGUGCGGGAGGGAGGGGGCUCCACAGCAGCUUUUGUGGCGUUGUGCCCAGCUUGGACUUAAAGGGAAAUCAUUCGGGAAAAGGAGACGGAUGGGGCUUUGUCAUCUGCACAGCGGCAAUGGCAGAGCAGUAGCUCAGCAACAGAGAGUCUCUUUUGCACGCAGAAGGUCCCAGUUUCAGUCUCCAGCAUCCCCAGGCAGGGCUGGGAGAGACCCUCUGCCUGAAACCCUGGAGUCAGUGUUGACAAUGUUGAGCUACAUAGCCCAAUGGCCUGACUCAGUUUAAGGUGGCUUCUUAUGUAUUUUCAGUGCUCAGGGUUGGAAGCAGGGAAAGGAGGCAGUCCCUGGUUGUGAGAUUGCAGGGGGGAAUUCCAUGACACCACUAAACUCUCCUGGCUAUGCCACUUUCCAUUCCCUACUGCCCAUUAGAUGGAUAGAUUUAUGGUUCUCGCCAUGGCAGUGUGGUCUCUGCUUCCCCAUCAGUGUCUAGUCAUGCCUUUCACAUAACUUCUGGAUGUUUGGACUUCCUCUGCUGCCAUUUCUGCCUUCUGGUGAAGGCCACACAGUGCAAGAUGCACCCUGGCAAUCUGGCUUUCCCGUGUGAUAUCCUAUCCACCUAGGGAUCCACACUCAAAUGCAUAGGGGUCACCAGUGUAGUCCCAUGGUACCUUCGAGGUCUUCCCCUGGCACCCAGCAAAUCUCAGAGUGCCCUCCCCUCACUGCCUUGGUCACGAGUGUGUCUACCUUUCUUUCCCUUGAAAAAUACAUAGAGCUAAAGGAGGAAUUUGAAGAGUGGCACUCGUUCCAACUUCCUCUUUCAGUCCUGUGUGGUUUUCAAGAGUCAGAUUAAUUCUGCUGGAUCUGGGGAAAACAAAGUGUGUGUUUCAGUCUGUCUGCCAGAGUCCAGUCGAACAACAUCUGGAGGGCCAUUGGUUCUGCACCCCGGCAUUAAAACGAUUUUGUUUUGCCAUUGUCACAAGGGGCUGAAACAAAGCCCCAGUUGCCUGCCUUCCAGUGUGGGCCACCAUCCAUCCACAAAGAACACUCAAAGAACAACCCUGGAAUGAUGCCGCGUAGCAAAAUAGCCUCAUUCCAAGCAGAGAUGUAUUUGCAGACAGUGGUUGUCCAGGGUGGCAGACUGGGGGCAGCGUUAGCAUUGCCACCCACAGUGGUCACCCUGGGGUGCCAGGCAGGCUGUGUGAAGGGGGCCUCUGCACAGCACAGGGGCAGCUUUGUCAAUGGGGCUGGCUCUUGCAGAGAAGAAGAAAGAAGGAGAGGAGGUCCAACACUAGAUGGAGCCAGAGCCAAUGGCAAGAAGAGCCCAUUCAUCCUCUUCAUGAGGAAGCUGACAAACAGCGCCACGCUUUUGACUGGUUGCAUGUAGGAAGGCAAGCAGGUGUUGGCUGGCUGAAGGGCAGAUUGAGUUGGUGGGACAAUGCCCCAUUCACCCACAUGGACCAGCCUCCACAGGGCAGCAUCAGGAGGUUCUUUCUAAUUCCACCCCUCCCAAUAUCCCAAAUUUCAUCUUGCAGCAGUUUUGAGGAUGAAUUUUUUAGGACUCCACAAAAUGCAUUUCAAGGUUUAGAUACCUUUAAGCCUUUCCUAGCAAGACCUGUCUUUUGACACCCUUCACCAUGCUUCUGCAAUGCCCCAUCUUGCCCGACUUACAUUGAGGGGUUCAAAACUGGGCCUCGCAGUGAGCUGGUGUAAUGCAGAGACUGAGCACAACCCAGAGAGUCGUUUCCAAAUUUGGAUGUGUGGUUUUGUCCAUGGUUAAUAUGCUGGGAGAGAUGGGGCUUGGGGUGGGGUGGGGGUGUUGCUUGCUUGCUCUGUGACCACUCUGUGACCUUCCAGAAUAAAAGUUGCCGAUCGGAAGCAACUGGCUGAGAAUUACAAUGGUUGAUAUAUUCUAAUUUAAAUAGAAACGUCCUCCGUUUAAAAUAUGGUUCAUUCACCGGUCAAACCGUCCUUACUCCCUUUAAUUGAAUUAAGAUGGGCAAAUGAGGGAUGUAUGCAGGACAAGGAGGGAGAAAAUGUUCAACAAAUCACUGUUAUCCUUCCUCAAAUGGUGUAAAACGAAUCAAUUAGAGGCAUGUCAGAGCACCUUUUACACACACACACAACUUUCCGACUGAGAAUGUUUAAUAAAAGUGGAAAUUUAAAUUGGAGGAUAAUAAUUUAGAUUUUUUUUCAGCUACUCUUAAUUUGAUUUCCACCACACCCCUCCAGUUUUUGCUUUGGGAGGAAACAUGCUGUCAGGAUUUGUGUGGCUGUUAAAUCAACGGUGGUCCUCUCCUCUUUUAUUUUUCAUUAUUUUAUAACUGGUACAUUUCUCAAAACAUGUCCACAUAUUUUGCGUCUCAUUGAAUCCUGGUGGCAGCUACAUAAAAUGAAGGGAAGGCAGUAGAGUGGAUUCCAACCACUCAGCCUU